AACGACAACAGCUGCCCCAACUACAACAGCUGCCCCAACUACAACAGGUGCUCCGACUACAACAGCUGCUCCAACUACAACAGAUCUCACGACCCUGGCAAGACUGGAAGUUUCCGUCAAUUCCGCAGUUGAACUUAACACUUGUACAAUAACUCCAUUUGUGGAAGAGGUCGAACAAAGACUCCGGGGUCGUUUUAACGGAACCAUUAAGUUUACAGUUAAGUCCAUAAGAAGAAAGGGGCAAAACGAAUCGCAAUUUAAUUUAAUCAACCCUGUAACAUCUUGUCCAUCUCCAGCACCUGUUUCUUAGUGAUUUUUUCCAACAGCUGAUCUUCGUCUCCAGCAUACUUCUUCACCGUUCCUCACCUGUUCUGUCGUGGACUGCAGUGCCAAUUGUCAAAUCAGGUCUGCCCAAUCCUGUUCCACGAACUCUCUCAUCCUUUACCUUUUAAUUUCAACCAUAAUUUACAUUUUACUCAUUUGGCAGAAGCUUUUAAUCCAAAGCGAUUUACAAGGUUCUUCCACAGGUUAAAGCAUCAAAUUCAUAACUCGUAAAAUACGCGUGAACGGCUGUUCUAAACGAAAAGACAGUCAUCUUAAGUGCAAAUUAUUAUUAUUAUUUUUGGGUUAGGGUUAGACAAAAGGACUAUCGGAAGGGGCCGGGAAAUCAGGAGAGAGGACUAAGGUAGAGUUUGAAACGGUGUGUUUUUAGUCUGCAUCGAAAUAUGGGGAGGGAUUCUGCUGUCCUGACAGCGGUAGGCAAGUAAUUCCACCACUGAGGAACCAGAACGGAAAACAGGCGUGAACCUGCAGCGCGACUGCCAGGUGCUCGACUAGAGCUGGCUCACCGGAGUGGUUUUGCUGGGGACUAGGGAGCAAUUAAAGAUUGUAUGUAAAGUGGGCAGUCCCCUUAGCAGCCUAUUUGACUCACCUGAAUCUACUAAUUAGCAAGAUCUCUCGCUGUUGAAUGAGGUGCGCUUUGUGAAAACCUACAGGACGGUAGAUUUCCAGGAACAGGCUUGGGCAGCCCUGCACUAGCUGUUGAAAGAUAUGUGCUUUGUUUGGUUUGGAGUGAAAAGGGGGGGAAAUAGAAUAAUUGUUACAAAAAGUAGGUGUGCACAAUUAUUAUGCAACUGGGAAAUACAUUGUUUUUUCCAUUUAUUUC